UACGUAGGGAGCAAGCGUUGUCCGGAUUUAUUGGGCGUAAAGAGCUCGUAGGCGGCUUAGCAAGUCAGGUGUGAAACCUCCAGGCUCAACCUGGAGACGCCACUUGAUACUGCUAUGGCUUGAGUUUGGUAGGGGAAGACGGAAUUCCUGGUGUAGCGGUGAAAUGCGCAGAUAUCAGAGAGGAACACCGAUGGCGAAGGCAGUCUUCUGGGCCAAAACUGACGCUGAGGAGCGAAAGCGUGGGGAGCGAACAGG
rnacentral:rRNA from 1 species